rnacentral:rRNA from 1 species
ACACGACUACAUUACGAUACCCCCGUAGUCCUAGCCGUAAACGAUACUCGCUAGGUGUCGGCCACGGUGCGACCGUUGUCGGUGCCGUAGGGAAGCCGUGGAGCGAGCCACCUGGGAAGUACGGCCGCAAGGCUGAAACUUAAAGGAAUUGGCGGGGGAGCACAACAACGGGUGGAGCUUGCGGUUUAAUUGGAUUCAACGCCGGAAAUCUUACCGGGACCGACAGCAACAUGAAGGCCAAGCCUGAAGACUUUGCCGGAUUUAGCUG